GGACCCGCACAAGUAGUGGAGCAUGUGGUUUAAUUCGAAGAUACGCGCAGAACCUUACCAACACUUGACAUGUUCGUCGCGACUUUAAGAGAUUAAAGUUUUCGGUUCGGCCGGACGAAACACAGGUGCUGCAUGGCUGUCGUCAGCUCGUGUCGUGAGAUGUUGGGUUAAGUCCCGCAACGAGCGCAACCCUCACUUUUAGUUGCCAUCAUUUAGUUGGGCACUCUGAAAGAACUGCCAGUGAUAAGCUGGAGGAAGGUGGGGAUGACGUCAAGUCCUCAUGGCCCUUACGUGUUGGGCUACACACGUGCUACAAUGGCACAUACAAUAGGAAGCAAAAUGGCGACAUUAAGCAAAUCCUAAAAAUGUGCCUCAGUUCGGAUUGUACUCUGCAACUCGAGUACAUGAAGCUGGAAUUACUAGUAAUCG
rnacentral:rRNA from 1 species